GCGAACGCUGGCGGCGUGCUUCACACAUGCAAGUCGAACGGAAAGGCCCUGCUUUUGUGGGGUGCUCGAGUGGCGAACGGGUGAGUAACACGUGAGUAACCUGCCCUUGACUUUGGGAUAACUUCAGGAAACUGGGGCUAAUACCGGAUAGGAGCUCCUGCUGCAUGGUGGGGGUUGGAAAGUUUCGGCGGUUGGGGAUGGACUCGCGGCUUAUCAGCUUGUUGGUGGGGUAGUGGCUUACCAAGGCUUUGACGGGUAGCCGGCCUGAGAGGGUGACCGGCCACAUUGGGACUGAGAUACGGCCCAGACCCCUACGGGAGGCAGCAGUGGGGAAUAUUGCACAAUGGGCGGAAGCCUGAUGCAGCAACGCCGCGUGCGGGAUGACGGCCUUCGGGUUGUAAACCGCUUUCGCCUGUGACGAAGCGUGAGUGACGGUAAUGGGUAAAGAAGCACCGGCUAACUACGUG
rnacentral:rRNA from 1 species